rnacentral:tRNA from 1 species
GGUAGAGCAAUCGGCUGUUAACCGAUCGGUCGCAGGUUCGAGUCCUGCCU